rnacentral:rRNA from 1 species
CCUACGGGAGGCAGCAGUGGGGAAUUUUGGACAAUGGGCGCAAGCCUGAUCCAGCAAUGCCGCGUGAGUGAAGAAGGCCUUCGGGUUGUAAAGCUCUUUUGUCAGGGAAGAAACGGUCUACUCUAAUACAGUGGGCUAAUGACGGUACCUGAAGAAUAAGCACCGGCUAACUACGUGCCAGCAGCCGCGGUAAUACGUAGGGUGCAAGCGUUAAUCGGAAUUACUGGGCGUAAAGCGUGCGCAGGCGGUUAUAUAAGUCAGAUGUGAAAUCCCCGGGCUCAACCUGGGAACUGCAUUUGAGACUGUAUGGCUAGAGUGUGUCAGAGGGGGGUAGAAUUCCACGUGUAGCAGUGAAAUGCGUAGAUAUGUGGAGGAAUACCGAUGGCGAAGGCAGCCCCCUGGGAUAACACUGACGCUCAUGCACGAAAGCGUGGGGAGCAAACAGGAUUAGAUACCCUGGUAGUCCACGCCCUAAACGAUGUCUACUAGUUGUCGGGACUUAAUUGUCUUGGUAACGCAGCUAACGCGUGAAGUAGACCGCCUGGGGAAGUACGGUCGCAAGAUUAAAACUUCAAAGGAAUUGACGGNUUGAGAGNGCGAGACGACGACGAGGGAGGAGG